AACGCACGAGACCUGCGGACCUGCGGAAGGAUCAUUACUGGGUUUUUGGGCUCUGCCCGCCACCCGCCCUCUGUUAUCAGUGACUAUUGUUUCGGCUCGGGCAACCGGCCGGCAGUACUCUUGAGUAAACUGAAGUCUGAUGCUAUGAAAAUAAAAAAACUUUUAACAACGGAUCUCU
rnacentral:misc_RNA from 1 species